AUGUGCGGUUUAACUCCAACCAUGGGUUCCCUGUGGAACUGGAACAGGGUGCGAGUGUAACUGAGCUGAAAGAGACGGUGGGACGUUUACAGGGAGUACAGCCUGAUCAACUGCGGGUCAUCUUUGCUGGACGAGAGCUCUGCAAUGAAUCCACACUUCAGGAGUUCUACCUGAAAUGUGGUGCCCACCCCACCUGUGAUAAUGACACUUCAGCAGCACUGGACUUGAUAAUGCCCAACACACACAGAGUGCCCUGCAUCGCCUGCACUGAUGUCAUUGUCCUCCACUCCACUCUUCUUCCUCCUCAGAGAUCUCCUCCGUUUGUGUAAAAGGGCGCUGACAAGAAUGUGGCCAGUCUCUUACAAUAGAACCGGGAGAGAGGGGUCAGAGAGGUGGAACACUGUGUUAGACUUGGUGCUGGAGUUUCAGUGUGAUCUGCCUGGAGUGCUUCCACCUGUACUGUGUGACCAGACUCAAUGAGCGACAGUUUACCCAGGACCCGCUGGUGGGCUACUCUCUGCCAUAAGAUG